rnacentral:lncRNA from 1 species
GAGAUGUCUCUUUAUUUCUGCUUUUUACAAAAUGAGACACUACUUUCAAAACAUCUAAGGAUGCUGCUAUGGCACUGAUGGGAAGAUAAGACUACCUGACCACUAAAGGUAAUGAUGUGUGUGUGUGUGGGUGGGUGGUGGUGGCAAGGAAAUGAGACCUUUCCCAUUU